CAGAGUUAUCUAACUCCCAAACCCAUGUGAACUUACCUUUGUUGCCUCGGCAGUAGUUGCUGGGCGAGCCUACCCGGGAAAUCCUGGGACGACUUACCCUGUAACGCCUGCCGGUGGACUACUAAACUCUUGUUAUUUUUAAGUAAUCUGAGCGUCUUAUUUUAAUAAGUCA
rnacentral:misc_RNA from 1 species